rnacentral:rRNA from 1 species
GACGAACGCUGGCGGCGUGCCUAACACAUGCAAGUCGAACGGAGAGGACAUGAAGUAUUUCGGUACGGAAUGCUCUCUUAGUGGCGAACGGGUGAGUAACACGUGGGCAACCUGCCCCAGACUGGGGGAUAACAUUGUGAAAACAGUGCUAAUACCGCAUGACAGGGUUCCGGGCAUCCGGGACCCUUGAAAGGAGAAAUCCGGUCAGGGAUGGGCCCGCGUCCAAUUAGCUAGUUGGCGGGGUAACGGCCCACCAAGGCGACGAUUGGUAGCCGAACUGAGAGGUUGAUCGGCCACAUUGGGACUGAGACACGGCCCAGACUCCUACGGGAGGCAGCAGUGGGGAAUAUUGGGCAAUGGGCGAAAGCCUGACCCAGCGACGCCGCGUGAAGGAUGAAGGUCUUCGGAUUGUAAACUUCUUUGAUCAGGGAAGAAAGAAAUGACGGUACCUGAAAAACAAGCCACGGCUAACUACGUG